UCCUUCCUUCAAUUCAGAUAGAUACAUCAUACGUCCCUUUUCAUUGGAGAACAUCAUCUUGUAAAUUUUAUUUCUUGCUGCAAUAAUGCUAAGUCGGUUGAAGUUAUGUAUCAUUUAUCAUGGCAUUUUUUUCUUUUUUUGGUAAAGUUUACCACGACAUUUAAUGUUACAAGAUUUUCCCAGAUAGAUUGUGGUUGGAGGGAUGUCCAUAUGCCUUCUACCUAUGGAUCCUCGCGUGGGAU
rnacentral:lncRNA from 1 species